UAAUGAUAAUGGCCACUAUAAUAAUUUAAAUUAAAAGUAAAAACAGAUAAUAAUUUUAUGGCAAUAGUAAUAAUAGCCACUAUAACAUAUAAUAAUAAUGGCAAAUAUAUAAUUGCCACCAAAACAUAAUUUAAAUUAAGAAAUUAGUGGCCAUUAUAUUAUUGCCACUAAAAGUUUGUCGCUAAAACAUAUUUUUCUUGUAGUGAGGACUUUGAGCAGAGACGAUC